rnacentral:SRP_RNA from 1 species
GCCCGGUGCGGUCAUGUGUGCCUGUAGUCCCAGCUACUCAGGAGGCUGAGGUGGGAGGAUCGCUUGAGCCCAGGAGUUCCAGGCUGUAGUGUGCUAUGCCGAUCGGGUGUCUGCACUAAGUUCGGCAUCAAUAUGGUGACCUCCUGAGAGUGGGGGACCACCAGGUUGCCUAAGGAGGGGUGAACCAGCCCAGGUUGGAAACAGAGCAAGUCAAAACUCCCAUGCUGAUCAGUAGUGGGAUUGCACCUGUGAAUAACUACACACCAGCCGGGCAACAUAGCAAGACCCUGUCUCCU